rnacentral:rRNA from 1 species
UACGAAGGGGCUAGCGUUGCUCGGAAUCACUGGGCGUAAAGCGCACGUAGGCGGCUUUCUAAGUCAGGGGUGAAAUCCUGGAGCUCAACUCCAGAACUGCCUUUGAUACUGGAGAGCUUGAGUCCGGAAGAGGUGAGUGGAACUCCGAGUGUAGAGGUGAAAUUCGUAGAUAUUCGCAAGAACACCAGUGGCGAAGGCGGCUCACUGGUCCGGUACUGACGCUGAGGUGCGAAAGCGUGGGGAGCAGACGAGG